rnacentral:rRNA from 1 species
AGAGUUUGAUCAUGGCUCAGAACGAACGCUGGCGGCAGGCCUAACACAUGCAAGUCGAACGAGCUGGGACCUUCGGGUCCCGAUGCUAGUGGCGCACGGGUGAGUAACACGUGGGAAUCUACCCAAUAGUACGGAAUAACUGAGGGAAACUUUGGCUAAUACCGUAUACGCCCUUCGGGGGAAAGAUUUAUCGCUAUUGGAUGAGCCCGCGUCUGAUUAGGUAGUUGGUGAGGUAACGGCUCACCAAGCCAACGAUCAGUAGCCGGUCUGAGAGGAUGAUCAGCCACACUGGGACUGAGACACGGCCCAGACUCCUACGGGAGGCAGCAGUGGGGAAUAUUGGACAAUGGGCGCAAGCCUGAUCCAGCCAUGCCGCGUGAGUGAAGAAGGCCUUCGGGUUGUAAAGCUCUUUCGGCGGGGACGAUGAUGACGGUACCCGCAUAAGAAGCCCCGGCAAACUUCGUGCCAGCAGCCGCGGUAAUACGAAGGGGGCUAGCGUUGUUCGGAAUUACUGGGCGUAAAGCGAACGUAGGCGGUGUUCCAUGUCAGAGGUGAAAGCCUGGGGCUCAACUCCAGAAUUGCCUUUGAAACGGGAACGCUUGAGUCCGAGAGAGGAUGGCGGAAUUCCUAGUGUAGAGGUGAAAUUCGUAGAUAUUAGGAAGAACACCGGGCGAAGGCGGCCAUCUGGCUCGGUACUGACGCUCAGGUUCGAAAGCGUGGGGAGCAAACAGGAUUAGAUACCCUAGUAGUCC